UACGAAGGGGGCUAGCGUUGCUCGGAAUCACUGGGCGUAAAGGGUGCGUAGGCGGGUCUUUAAGUCAGGGGUGAAAUCCUGGAGCUCAACUCCAGAACUGCCUUUGAUACUGAGGAUCUUGAGUUCGGGAGAGGUGAGUGGAACUGCGAGUGUAGAGGUGAAAUUCGUAGAUAUUCGCAAGAACACCAGUGGCGAAGGCGGCUCACUGGUCCAUAACUGACGCUGAGGAGCGAAAGCGUGGGGAGCGAACAGG
rnacentral:rRNA from 1 species